GCAGAGCCAGGACACCAUUUCAGAUGUGAGAGCUGCCCUGCUCACCUGUGGCAAAGGUGGGAUCUUAGCUCCUCACUCCUAGAUAGGAAGGCACAAAGGGCGCAGGAGGGACACGUCGCCCCCGGGGAAAUGGAGAACAAGAAGAUGCUCCGAGGAACCUGGGACAUUGUCAGAAGAAAACGAUGGAAAAGCAACCACACUGAGGCCACUGGGUUUGUGUCUUGUGAGACAGGAGGGGGCCUUUGAGGGAAGAAUGAUCUUCGGCACGGGAAAGGGCCCUCAGGUCCGUGCCAGUCUCAGCUCAUUUCCAUCCACAGGUCCCUUUGCCUGAGGGGGCAAUUUCUGGGGUUCCCUCCUGUGGUAAAAGGUGCCAGAGAAUAAGGGGGACACACAGGUCAGCCUCAGGGGCAGGAUGUGGUUCCCAGGAGCAUGAGAACCCCACCCAGGGCUCUGGGGCUCCUUC
rnacentral:lncRNA from 10 species